GACGAACGCUGGCGGCGUGCUUAACACAUGCAAGUCGAACGAAGAGCGACGGAAGCUUGCUUCUAUCAAUCUUAGUGGCGAACGGGUGAGUAACGCGUAAUCAACCUGCCCUUCAGAGGGGGACAACAGUUGGAAACGACUGCUAAUACCGCAUACGAUCUAAUCUCGGCAUCGAGGAUGGAUGAAAGGUGGCCUCUACAUGUAAGCUAUCACUGAAGGAGGGGAUUGCGUCUGAUUAGCUAGUUGGAGGGGUAACGGCCCACCAAGGCGAUGAUCAGUAGCCGGUCUGAGAGGAUGAACGGCCACAUUGGGACUGAGACACGGCCCAGACUCCUACGGGAGGCAGCAGUGGGGAAUCUUCCGCAAUGGACGAAAGUCUGACGGAGCAACGCCGCGUGAGUGAUGACGGCCUUCGGGUUGUAAAGCUCUGUUAAUCGGGACGAAAGGCCUUCUUGCGAAUAGUGAGAAGGAUUGACGGUACCGGAAUAGAAAGCCACGGCCAACUACGUG
rnacentral:rRNA from 1 species